rnacentral:lncRNA from 1 species
UUUUAACUAGAACUUAACUAAGUCAAUAGGUAAAAUUGAAAAUAUUAUUAAAUUACACUACAAGAAAACAUAUUUUUUACUAGGGCAGUAUUCGUUGUAAAUUCGUCGUAAACGGAGGGUGUGUUACGACGAAUUAACGUCGAAAGAUGAUUCGUUGUUAAACGUCCGUCGUAACGGAGGUUUCGUCGUAAACAAACUCGUUAUGUUUACGACGAAAUAUAUUCCUCGUAAAGCGCAGGGAAAGGAUUCGUCGUAAACGACACGUAAGCUUUCGUCGUAAAGCCCACGUAAUUAAAACGAUGUAAAGCACACGUAAAUACAUUUGUUGUAAAUCACUCGUAAACAUUUCGAUGUAAAACCCUCGUAAAUGUU